AUUGAACGCUGGCGGCAGGCCUAACACAUGCAAGUCGAGCGGAUGAGAGGAGCUUGCUCCUCGAUUCAGCGGCGGACGGGUGAGUAAUGCCUAGGAAUCUGCCUAGUAGUGGGGGUCAACGUUUCGAAAGGAACGCUAAUACCGCAUACGUCCUACGGGAGAAAGUGGGGGAUCUUCGGACCUCACGCUAUUAGAUGAGCCUAGGUCGGAUUAGCUAGUUGGUAGAGUAAAGGCCUACCAAGGCGACGAUCCGUAACUGGUCUGAGAGGAUGAUCAGUCACACUGGAACUGAGACACGGUCCAGACUCCUACGGGAGGCAGCAGUGGGGAAUAUUGGACAAUGGGCGAAAGCCUGAUCCAGCCAUGCCGCGUGUGUGAAGAAGGCCUUCGGGUCGUAAAGCACUUUAAGUUGGGAGGAAGGGCUCAUAGCGAAUACCUGUGAGUUUUGACGUUACCAACAGAAUAAGCACCGGCUAACUUCGUGCCAGCCGCCGCCGUAACAC
rnacentral:rRNA from 1 species